CCUGGAAACGGGUCUAAUACCGAUAUGACGCACGACCGCAUGGUCUGUAAAGCUCCGGCGGUGAAGGAUGAGCCCCGGCCUUCAGCUUGUUGGUGGGGUGAUGGCCUACAAGGCGACGACGGGUAGCCGGCCUGAGAGGGCGACGGCACACUGGGACUGAGACACGGCCCAGACCCUACGGGAGGCAGCAGUGGGGAAUAUUGCACAAUGGCAAAGCCUGAUGCAGCGACGCCGCGUGAGGAUGACCCUUCGGGUUGUAAACCUCUUUCAGCAGGGAAGCGAGAGUGACGGUACCUGCAGAAGAGCGCCGGCUAACUACGUGCCAGCAGCCGCGGUAAUACGUGGGGCAAGCGUUGUCCGGAAUUAUUGGCGUAAAGAGCUCGUAGGCGGCUUGUCGCGUCGGAUGUGAAGCCCGGGCUUAACCCCGGGUCUGCAUCGAUACGGGCAGGCUAGAGUUCGGUAGGGGAGAUCGGAAUCCUGGUGUAGCGGUGAAAUGCGCAGAUUCAGGAGGAACACCGGCGGAUCUCUGGGCCGUACUGACGCGAGGAGCGAAAGCGUGGGAGCGAACAGGAUUAGAUACCUGGUAGUCCACGCCGUAACGUUGGGAACUGGUGUGGGCGACAUUCACGUCGUCCGUGCCGCAGCUAAGCAUUAAGUUCCCCGCCGGGAGUACGGCCGAAGGCUAAAACUCAAGGAAUUGACGGGGGCCCGCACAACAGCGGAGCAUGUGCUUAAUUCGACGCAAGCGAAGAACCUACCAAGGCUUGACAUACACCGGAAACGGCAGAGAUGGUCGCCCCCUUGUGGUCGGUGACAGGUGGUGAUGGCUGUCGUCAGCUCGUGUCGUGAGAUGUGGGUUAAGUGCAACGAGCGCAACCCUUUUCUGUGUGCCAGCAUGCCUUUCGGGGUGAUGGGGACUCACAGAGAUGCCGGGGUCAACUCGGAGGAAGUGGGACGACGUCAAGUCAUCAUGCCCCUUAUGUCUUGGGCUGCACGUGCUACAAUGGCCGGUACAAUGGCGCGAUACCGUGAGGUGGAG
rnacentral:rRNA from 1 species